rnacentral:misc_RNA from 1 species
UCGAGAUAGGGUUCUCUCUGAGCCCGACCCUCCCAACCCUUUGUCUACACAACCUUUUGUUGCUUCGGCGGACCCGUCUUCGUGACCGCCGGGGAGAGCGUUCUCCCUGGCCCGCGUCCGCCGGUGGCCUCCUACACUCUGAACAAAUCGUGUCUUCUAAGUACCAAGCAAAAUAAAGCA